GCGUAGUACGUCCCCUUCAGGUCCCCAGACAGAGUGUCCAGAGCUGGGGAACACAGGAGAACACGUGACCUACCACCGUCUGGGACCAGAGGUGAAGAGAACACGACCUACCACCGUCUGGGACCAGAGGUGAAGAGAACACGACCUACCACCGUCUGGGACCAGAGGUGAAGAGAACACGUGACCUACCACCGUCUGGGACCAGAGGUGAAGAGAACACGUGACCUACCACCGUCUGGGACCAGAGGUGAAGAGAACACGACCUACCACCGUCUGGGACCAGAGGUGAAGAGAACCUUCUGAAGGACAGCUAUGGAGGGAACUGGUCCACGUCUCCAGGGGAGGACAGAAAUGUGGAGCAGGUGUUCUGCCGGCUGCCGCCUCUAGAGGGGGCUCUCUGCCCAGUAUUUCUACGAGCGUCCGCUGCAGGCGGGCCCUACCUUCUAUGGAGAGGGUCUCCACGGCGCGGCGCUCCCCGCGGCUGCAGUGGGGCGGCAGGCAGAAGCCGCGGACGCUCCUCCCGGUGCGCACCCUGGAGCUCAGGACGUAGUCGGGGUCCAGGUCG